rnacentral:lncRNA from 1 species
UCGUGUGGGUUGACAUAACGGUUGUAUGAAUCUGAUAUAAUAUAUAAUCACGAAUAGGCAAGACUUGCCAGAUUUGAAGAUGCCUCCUCCGUUGAUUCCACCCCCUAGCAUAGGUCCUCUACCCCUUAAUGAUGUAACUAUUAUUACUACCAAUCAAUAAAGAGGGUCUGUUUGCUGUCCAAAAAAAGGAAAAAGAUAGGAGGUUGGAUUUGAGGGAAGACAUAAAUAGCAGAUGUAGAGAACUUGGGAAGGGAAGAAGAGGAGAGAAUUGAAGAUCUAAGCAAUCUAGAGCCACAACAACAAGAUUGGAAAUAUCAUGGAAAAAAUAUGAAUAGAAUCAAGAAGAAUCGGCGAGUUGCUAGUGCCUCCGAGAGCAUCUUCAACAUGGCCCAUAAAUAGGGUCCCUGCACGGCCACGCCCACCGACGACCGUGGUCGCACCCGCCACUGUGUGUCAUCAGAGAAGAAGACAAAGAAAAAGAACAAGAAAAAUGUCCCACUCACUACUACAGAAAACCCCAUCCGUGAUCCCCCUCCAGUGGCGGUUAAAACGGACCAAAAAACACACCGCCACAGGAGGCCUCUCGAGGCAUCCACGAGAUCCACCAGCCACACCACCAGUGGCAGUGAAUAUUGUCCCGAAACAAGUCACCGCCACUGGUGGUCCAUCAACAGUGGCGGUGUUUAUCACCGCCACUGGAAAUGCCCAU